GCCGUGAUCGUAUAGUGGUUAGUACAUUGAGUUGUGGCCGCAAUAACACAGGUUCGAAUCCUGGUCAUGGCA
rfam:Nematostella vectensis strain CH2 x CH6 NEMVEscaffold_113_Cont13477, whole genome shotgun sequence.